rnacentral:lncRNA from 1 species
UGUGUUGAAUUUUUUUGAGUAUCUCUCAGAAAAUCUAUUUUGAAAUUCACUAAUGAGUCCUAAUUGGCUUGCUCUUUAGAACUUUAAUUUAGUGCCAAUUCAUAUUUUUAUGUAUCAAAUUGUGCUUAUUUUUUAAAGGAAUAAAGUCUUUAAAAGAGCUUUAAAAAAAUCUUCAAAGCCUUGAAUUUUAUGUAUGCUCUAAGAUAUAUCAUAAAUUGCAUGAAUUCAUGUUUUGGUGUUUAUGCCACAAUAUUUUUACAUCAUAAAAGAACUUUGCAAUCAUGCUUAAUAUAUUGCUCUUAUACUCUGAAAAUUAGUUAAAUUGCUCUCAUGUUGUUAAAAUACUUAAUAUAUUGGGCAAAAGAUCUUAAAUGAACAAGCUUUCAUACUUAUUAUUGAAGAGAGAUUAGAUUUUCAUUCGUGCUUUCCUUGAAUAUCAUUUGUGGUACUUCUUGAAUUAACUUAAGAAAGAUUCCACCUACACUUGAUUUGAAAACUAUCUUUGGAAUCACAUUCGAUGUGUUCUCCUCUGAAAUUAUCUUAAUUGGCUCUGGUCUAUGCUCAUUAAUCUUUUUCUAACAUUAUUGCCUUN